GCUUUCAUUCAAACCUUGUAUCUGCACCACGGCUCUUGAGGAGGAGAUUUUGGUUAUUGUUCGUGGUUUUGUUGCAAGGUGUGCUGAACAGAGAGCAGAGAGUUACAGGACGGUCAACAACAAAUCAGAGUGCUACAGGAUGGUCAACAACAGAGCAGAGAGGUACAGAGCAGUGGUCAACAGAGCAAAGAGCUACAGCAAUUGAUGAGGCUUGUUGCGGCACAACUGAGGGUAAGGAGAAUGGGCCUGCCAGGAAGAGAAAAUACCCUUCACAGUGGAAAGGAGAGGUUCAGAUGAGGAGGAUGGAGGGUAAAGCCUACCUUGGCAGGAAAAAGGAUGAAGGGGAGCUGACGAGAGAGCCACACAAUAUGGGACCAGGAUGUGUGUCAGAGUGAUGCCGAAAGUCCUCCAAGCGCUUCUGCAAUGCAAUCAGUGAUGAGGACAGAGAAGAUUUUCCAGUACUUCUGGCAAAAGUUGGACUGUGAUGAGAGUAAGGUGUAUGUUUGUGGUCUUGUUGACUGCAGUUCAGUGCAAGUCUGAGAAAGUGAAUGUUAGAAGGACAUCUACACUGGCAUACCUUCUUAAAGUUGGUUGGGAGAAGAAGAGGGUAUGUAAAAACAUGUUCCUGUCAACUCUUGGCUUGGGUGAAUGGUCAAUGCAACACUGGGUGCAAACGAAGGAGACUGAAGUCAGAUUAAAAUAAUGGACAGUAACCAUUUGAAUUAUCCAUAAAAUAGAAAAUGUUUAAAAAACUGCAGUACUCACUGGCCACAACAUCAUGAUGAAGCAAAAUGCAUCAUAUGAUGCAAAACCAUCAUCAUGAUGAUGUAGCCGGUGACACUUUCCUUCUUGAAAGUCCAAUAUC